AAAAUUCAAGAGAAAAUUGAUGGAUUUCAAGUAAUCAAGCAAUCAAAGGUAAAAGUUUUUAAUUUUGACUUGUGAUCUACCUUUCCCAUACAUUCUUUUGCAUUUUUCAUGGUUGAAUCACAUGAUUUCAUGAUGGGUCUCUUGCUUGCCGAACACUUAAAGAGAGAUUUUGAUGGUUGUUUUGGUUAGAUUUUAAGAUAUUCUAGUGUUUUUAGUUGAUUGGUGAUGUGUAGUAUGAAAAUCAAGUAAGAAAAAUUCACUUCCUCCCAUCACCCAUCAUUGGCCGAAUCUUCCAUGUAGAGUGUGGAUGGUGGAUUUGAUUUUAUUUCAAGUGAAUUGGUUAGGAAAUGAUGAAUUACGGUGAGAAAAUCAAGUAGGAAAAAUCAUAGUAUUGAUGCACCCACCAUGGCCGAAAUUCUCAAGAGAAAAUGUGAAGAUGAUUUUGCUAAAUUUAUGCUAUUUGACUUGUGUUUGAUGGUUUGGAGAAUUGGGAGAAAAAUGGAAUUAUUUGGAGUUGAAUUGGACGUAUUGGCCAAUUAAUCGGGUGAUAGAUCGAAUUAGGCCAAUACCAUUUUAUUUAGGUACAUAAUUGAAUUUAUAUUGAACACCGUAUUUAGAUAGUUAUCCGAGUAUUUCACAUCCCAUUUCAUGCAUUAGUAUGGAGCCUGAAUUAGUUUUAUAACAAUUUAGCACAAAUGUAGUAAAUGGCUUAUCGUGCAUUAUGUUUAAGUGGUGAGCAUUAUGGCAAAAGUAAAGAGAUAGUAUCCGAGGAUCAAGAAUCGGAGUACUUGGAAUUCGAUUCCCAUUAUUGUGAGUAACCUUAUUAUCAUCUUAAUUAUCUAAAGUAGUUUUUAUUCGUUUUUGUGAUUUGAUAGAAAAUGAGUUUAAAUGGUAAAUCUUUACGUUUUGUAACUAAAAUGUGAUUUAAUGAAAUGAUUUUAUAAAAUUGUCUUGAAAUUGAAAGAUGGUUUUGAAAAUGGAGUAAUUGGAGACUAAUUGCUGUGUUAUAAAUUAUGGUUUGAAUUGAAUGGCUUAUGAUAAUAUUGGCAUGAAUGGUUGAAUUGGUAAAUGUGCUGAAAAUGUAUAAACUGUUGUUUGCCUUGAUAGGCUGGAUAAUGAUAAAAUUGCCAUGUCAUGCUGUUGAAUUUUUAUUGAAUUGGUGGGUUAUAAAUUGGUCACUGCAGUGGUAGGUUCUGUGGACCAACCUAUUUAGAGGGGCACGGAAUCCGGGUAUAUUCUUACCUUGAUCGGAGAGGCGCGGAUGGGUAACUCCUGAGGUACAACCUUAGAGUUCACUUCACGCCAAACCACCACGUGAGGGUGAACUCAGCCAACGUCAAGGAACGACUAUAUUUUCAAAAAAAAAAACAUGAUUUAUACUUACAUGACUUUUUAACAGCCUUGGCGGACUCGGUUGGGAUAGACCCAGGCCAAGGUACCCCUGUUAACUGAG
rnacentral:lncRNA from 1 species